rnacentral:lncRNA from 1 species
UUUGUUGCAGACUUUGGAAAGAGUCCGUGACGUGCACGCUGCGCCAGCAGGCUUCCGCUCUGAUCCUUGAGCGUUUUUGCUAAGGGUUAAAACGUUUGCACUAUACAAUUCCUGUACUAGAGCGCGCUGUAUGCCAGGUCAGGCCCACACGAAACUACUUCCCAAGAAAAUACGGCAAAUUAAGUACAAAAAUGAUAAAAGAUAAGGUGUUGAGGUACCCGGCGGUUGGCUGGCGGGGCUACCCGCCCUCAUUUUUCCUCCAAAGACCCAUUCCCAUGGUUUCGUGCUUUCCCACUUGCUUUUAGGAGGGCCUUUGCAACUUACUAAGCGUUGCCGCGCUAGUCAGCAGGGGAGCAUAAGCCGGUAAGGACUGAUAAAACAAGAAUGGACGAACCCUUGUUUAUUUGGGAUCACUGGGCGGGUGUAUGUAUGGAAGUGAAGUGGAAAUGUGGAAAUGUGGCCAUCGCUGUGCUCGCUGUGCUGCGCUGCCUGGUGGCGACAAAGGCUGAACAAUAGA